GCCGCGGGGGUGGUACUGCCGCAUCCGGGUGUCUGGAGGCCGUGGCCGUUUUGUUUUCUUGGCUGAAACCGGGGGAGUGAGGCGGGCCGGCGCGGCGCGACACCGGGCUCCGGAACCACUGCACGACGGGGCUGGACGAUUAAUGCAGUAUCGAAUGGACAAGUCCGAGGUGAUAGUUACAGUGAAGGUUGUCUGGGUCAAACAGGUGCUCGCAUUUGGCUUUUCAUUGGUUUCAUGUUGGCCUUUGGAUCUCUGAUUGCAUCUAUGUGGAUUCUUUUUGGAGGUUAUGUUGCUAAAGAAAAAGACAUAGUAUACCCUGGAAUUGCUGUAUUUUUCCAGAAUGCCUUCAUCUUUUUUGGAGGGCUGGUUUUUAAGUUUGGCCGCACUGAAGACUUAUGGCAGUGAACACAUCUGAUUUCCCACAGCACAACAGCCCUGCAUGGGUUUGUUUGUUUUUUUACUGCUCACUCCCAACCUUUUGUAAUGCCAUUUUCUAAACUUAUUUCUGAGUGUAGUCUCAGCUUAAAGUUGUGUAAUACUAAAAUCACGAGAACACCUAAACAACAACCAAAAAUCUAUUGUGGUAUGCACUUGAUUAACUUAUAAAAUGUUAAAGGAAACUUUCACAUGAAUAAUUUUUGUCAAAUUUUAUCAUGGUAUAAUUUGUAAAAAUAAAAAGAAAUUACAAAAGAAAUUAUGGAUUUGUCAAUGUAAGUGUUUGUCAUAUCUGAGGUCCAAAACCACAAUGAAAGUGCUCUGAAGAUUUAAUGUGUUUAUUCAAAUGUGGUCUCUUCUGUGUCAAAUGUUAAAUAUAAACAUUUUUUAGUUUUUAAAAUAUUUCAUGGUCAAAAUUCUUCCUCACUGUAAUUGGUAUUUACUUUUACCAAAAAUUCUGUGAACAUGUAAUGUAAGUGGCUUUUGAGAGUCUCCCAAGGGGUGAGUGGACGUGUUGGAAGAGAG
rnacentral:sRNA from 1 species